rnacentral:rRNA from 1 species
AUGAGAGCAGCCGCCGCCGCCUCCGACUGGUCCGGCCUUCUGCCGGAGCUCCUCGAGGAGAUCUCACGACGCGUAGGGGACGUCAAACGCGACCGUGAUGCGUUCGCCGCCGUCUGCAGGCCGUGGCGCCGCGCGUCGAGCGCCACCGGCGCUCGGCUCAACCGCCACGCCCUGCACCUCGUGUCCCUCCGGUCCGGCGCCACCGCCGUCGACUUCUCCGAUCGCGCCGGCGAGGUGAAGAAGACGGUGUACCUUGGGACCGACGCCGGCGGCGCGCGGCCCCACCGCGUCAUCGGCUGCUCCCGGGGCUGGCUCGUCGUCGUCGACAAGUCGUGCGGCGCGUCGCUCCUCGAGCCCGUCGCCGACGGCAGGCGGCUGCCGCUGCCGGACGUCACGUCGUUCGACUGCGGGUUCAUCAGGCCCUUGCUCGCCGACGACCUCGGCGGAGGCGUGUGUUUCUCCGUGGACCAUCACGCGUAUCGGUCACACAUCCGGGGCCCUAACAAGAAGGCCCGGCCGUCGCCUCCCGAGACGGUUCCGAUCCAGACAAUGCGUGACGAGUUCUUCCACAAGGCCGCGCUCGCCGUCUCGGGAGGAGACCGGCGGGAGAGCUUCACCGUGAUGGUGAUCCACAGCGGCGGCUCCGGGCUGGCGUUCGCGAGGCCCGGCGACAAGUGCUGGACGUCGCUGCGCACGUCGGCGUCCACGCGGUACCAGGACAUCAUCCACCACGACGGCGCCUUCUACACAAUCUCCCGCGGCGACGGGUCCAUCGAGGCCUGGGAGCCGUCGGCGCACGGCGGCCGCACCCUCAAGCCGCGGCUCGUGACGGGGCCGGUCAUGGCGUGGGAGUUCAAGCGGUGCGUGGAGUUCCACACCGAGACGUUCCGGCAGCAGGCCUACUACGAGGGCGCCAGGUACCUCGCCGAGCGCGACGACGGCGGCGCCGGCCUUCUCGUGGUGAGCACGGUGGCCAUCUUCACCGACGACAACGCCCUGCGGACCCGGCGCUUCAAGGUGUUCGCCGUGGACGAGCGCGAGGACAGGUGGCGCGAGCUGCAGGACAUCGGCGACGACGUGGCGCUGCUGGUGGGGAUCAACCACGGGAGGCGCGUGUCGACGAGGGAGUACCAAUGCAUGGAGCCCGGCCGCAUCUACUACGUGCUCAAGUCGUUCGCGCCCGAGUUCGACGCCAUGGAUGAAGACGGAGACGACGUGGAGGAGUGCUCCAGGUACGAGAGCGGGGUGCACGAGCUCCGGACCGGCGUCGCGUCCAGGAAAGCCGUGUUCAGGCAUGCCGCCGGCGGUCACCCUGUUUGGUUCGUGCCUCCCGUUGCUGCUCCUCCCCGCAGGUGA